ensembl:snRNA U6 U6 spliceosomal RNA
GUACUCACUUCAGCAACACAUACAUUUUAAAAAGUGGGAAAGAUACAGAGAUUAGCAUGGUCCUUGUGAAAGAAUGACACACAAAUUUCUAAAGUGUUCCAUAGUUUU